rnacentral:rRNA from 1 species
GACGAACGCUGGCGGCGUGCUUAACACAUGCAAGUCGAACGGAAAGGCCCUGCCUUUGUGGGGUGCUCGAGUGGCGAACGGGUGAGUAACACGUGAGUAACCUGCCCUUGAGUUUGGGAUAACUUCAGGAAACUGGGGCUAAUACCGCAUAGGAGCUCCUGUCGCAUGGUGGGGGUUGGAAAGUUUCGGCGGGUGGGGUUGGACGCGCGGCUUAUCAGCUUGUUGGUGGGGUAGUGGCUUACCAAGGCUUUGACGGGUAGCCGGCCUGAGAGGGUGACCGGCCACAGUGGGACUGAGAUACGGCCCAGACGGCAUCGGGAGGCAGCAGUGGAAAUUAGUGCGCAAAAGGCGGAAGCCGGAUGCAACAUCGCCGGGUGCGGGAUGACGGCCUUCGGGGUGUAAACCGCGUGCGCCUGGGACGAAGCGUGAGUGACGGUAAUGGAUAAAGAAGCACCGGCUAACUACGUG